UCAUCAGAAGUAGUGUUGGCUUAGUGGAAUGAUACAGAGAAGAUUAGCAUGCUUCCUGUUCAAGGAUGACAUGCGCAUCUGUGAAGUACUCCGUCCUAAG
rnacentral:snRNA from 1 species